rnacentral:rRNA from 1 species
AGACGGAGGGUGCUAGCGUUGUUCGGAAUUACUGGGCGUAAAGGGCGCGUAGGCGGCUACGGCAGUCGGGUGUGAAAGCCCGGGGCUCAACCCCGGAACGGCAUCCGAUACUCUGUGGCUAGAGACCGGAAGAGGUGGGUGGAAUACCCAGUGUAGAGGUGAAAUUCGUAGAUAUUGGGUGGAACACCGGUGGCGAAAGCGGCUCACUGGUCCGGUUCUGACGCUGAGGCGCGAAAGCGUGGGGAGC